UGUGCGGGCGGUGCCGGACCAGCCUCGCGGAGCUGAGGGAGGCGGCUCUCUGAGGGAAGGAGCGGCCCUUUCUGAAGGAGGCGGCUCUCUCUGAGGGAAGGAGCGGCCCUCGCUGAGGGAGCCGGCUCUCUCUGAGGGAAGGAGCGGCUCUCGCUGAGGGAGCCGGCUCUCUCUGAGGGAAGGAGCGGCCCUCGCUGAGGGAGCCGGCUCUCUCUGAGGGAAGGAGCGGCUCUCGCUGAGGGAGCCGGCUCUCUCUGAGGGAAGGAGCGGCUCUCUCUGAGGGAGGAGCGGCCCUCUCUGAGGGAGCCGGCUCUCUCUGAGGGAGCCCUUCCCGCGCCGCCAUUGCCGCGCGCGGGGCGCCCCCUGCCGGCGGGAGGGCGGGACCGUCCCCUCAGCGCCCCUCAUGGCCCGGUCCUGCCCCCGCCCGCGGGUGUCACCCCAGAACUUUACCUGCAGUAAACUUUACCGGCGACUUACCGACCCGUUACCAAAAUUCCAAAACUGUGACCUUAUGGUUUACAGAGCAAAAGGCUGCCCUGUGCUGUAACGCCUCAGGGCUGUAGUCAAACACGGAAUAGAAGUGGUGAAGAGCUGUUUUCCCCUGUGCGGUUGAGGGCACGACUAGAGGGGCCACAAGUAACGAGGAGGGGACUGUGGCUACGUUUUGAAGAUGAAAUGGCGUAAAGCCUGCAUACGGCUCGGGAACCUGCUGCCAGUGACAGAGCUGGGGCCGAGGAAACAAUCUCCCUGUUCCGUCCCGUCCUCACUCCCAGCCCUGCACAGGGGACAGUGACCCUGUCUGACCUGCCACACAUCCUCCGGCUCAACAAACACAGCCAGGUGGUGGCUCAGUUCUUUGAGCUCCAGCGAGUUGGUUUAAAUCCUUCUGUUUAAUAUCAAGCCUGUCUUGAUAUCAGUUCCUGCAAGAAUGAAACUGAUUUCUUCACGAAUUGUGCUCAGAUAAUAAUAAAGUCCAACCCGGUCGGUUCUGACUGGGAGGCUGUGAUGGGCACGGCUGAGCUCUCAAACUGUGUUGUCGUAUUACAGGAGAGAAUGAAAGUGCCUGAAGUGAGCAAAAACUUGUCAAACCCAUAAAAUGGCACACAAUCCCUAAUCCUACAAUCCCUAAUCCUCAAACCAGCGCAUUUGCUACAAGACACGUUCCUCUUGAAGGCCUCUGAGGAAAUACUGUGUGGAGAUGCUUUAGUCAGGGGUUUACACCAACAGAAUAUGCAGCAGGAAUGUGUCGUCUUUGCUUCACCCAGUGUUUCCACCCAGAGACCUGGGGAUGGGGGCUCUCUGGAGUGUAGAUCAUGCAGCCCCACACUGAAAACCACGAUGACACAGAGCAUUUAUUUUACAUUUUCAUGGUGGCACAUCCAGUGUGAUGAUAUGUAUUUUAAGAGAAGAGGCCUCGCUGAGGAUUAAAGAUCUUGGGAUGUUCAAAGCUGCUGUAAAUGCAUAAGGAAGAAGUGAGAAAAAGGAUCAACUCCCAGGUGAGCUCAGGCACAGCCAGGUGUGGAGGAGUGCCAUCACCAUCCUCUUGGAAGACAGUCAGCAGUGCCUGCUGCAGGACACUGGGGCCUCUUUUUGCCUCAUCAAAGAAGCUCUGUGGAAAAAUUUUUUGGGGAGCCAUGUCCACUGUUGGAGGCCACAGCUGGAGACAAGAUGCCAGAACUGAUGCACGUUCUGCUCGACAAGGCCAAGGGGUGACGAAGGUAAAUGUGACCAAGCUCCAUCUGUGCCAUGACACUGGAGACAAGGAAGUGGCAAAAAGCUUCAGAAAGGUAAAAUACCUAAAAAAUGCAUCUCUUUGAUCCCAUCAAAGCUCUGGCUACAGUUUCUGAAUUCCUGUGACUCAGCAAGAAUAUGGAGAAAAUUCCCCAGUCCAAGGUCCAAGUGCUUAAAGCUGUGUAAGUUCAUAGCCCAGGCAAGUCUCUUCUGAACACUCCAAAAAAAACCAGGAGUCUUGGAAAGCAAAUGUCCCUCACUACUGACUGUCCUACAUGUGAACUAGCCAGACUGGUUAAAGCUUAAUUAAAACUUGCCAGAGUGGCUAAAUUCCUUUCUAAGUGCAGCUGCAGAACGUUAGCUGUGGGCAUAUUUUAGACCUUAAUUAGUAACACUUGCACUGGAGGACCAAAACCUUUCAUGAAUGCAGCUGCAAUCAAUUAAUAUCAGUCAGGCAUUUCUGUGGGCAAUACCAGGCUCUCCUGAAAAUUGUUUAGUGCCCACCUAGAUUUAAAAAAAUAAAAUUCUUAUGCACAACAAACUACAAAACCAAAGAUAACUACAAAAUGUCUUUAUUGAAAAAAAGCAGAUUAUAGCAUCUAAGGUUAAAUGAAACUUCUGACUUCAAUAUUAAAUAACUUAAGAUGAUAGCAAGUUGCUUCUUCUUUAGAUAAAUAAAUCUACAUUUCCCAAUUUUUUUCUUCAAUAAUCAAGGGAAUCAAACACUGAAACACAAAACCACAAGUAAUUCUAAAGACUAAAAGACAGAAGCACAUUGAAAGGUUUUACAAGGAUAUAUAUACAAAAAUAGUUAAACUAAUGUAUAUUUUCAGCAUGUAAACUAGUUACAUGAUAUACAAACUGGGAAUUCAUAUAUUUCCUACAAAAUAAAAAUCAACGUUGGUCCAAGUUCUUGGAAGAAAACUAUAUUCUUUUAAAGAAAAUGAAAAUAUUUCUCAAAUGAAAACUUAAUUUAAGUCAAAUUAUAUACUCUAGUUUACGGCAUUAGUUACAGGAUGAAUCACAAACUUUUAAACUUUUCUUGAAACACAAGAAAGCAGCUUUUGUCUCCUUCAGAGCUUUGGUUUACUUUACUACUCUGGAAUUUCUGGUCUUAAAGAGCUCCUCUAACCAUGUUUUCCUUUUGAAGCUCCACCUUACAAAAUAUAUACACACGUGCACGCAAGUGAAAGGGAAAGGAAAGAAACCCAAACAAACCCUCUCUGUAAGGGCAGUUAUCUGAGUGCAUUCUUUUGUUUUGUUUUCAAAUAAGUAUUUUGGUCCUUUCUUUGGAACACUCCUCCCCUGGACGGGACUCUGCAUCCCCACAACAGCUCUGGGCUGCAGGGCCUUGGGAAGAUUCCCCACCCAAGGGGAGAAGGUGCAGUCCUGAUGCAAAUGAGAACAGGUUGUUAUUGUUUUAACUUUAUGGAAACAUUCUGAAAGUACAGCAAAGGCUUCUGAAGAACGAUCACAUCAUAAAAUGAACUCGGGAAGUUUACGUCUGUGUUCAACUGAUUUCAGGUAAGAAUACUCCGUAAGAAAAUCACUAAAAGAAACUUUCUCCUUUACAUAAUUCCCAGGCAGGAGGUAAUGUGCAGAAACUGCCACUUGCACUAAAGAGUACAGCACAUCAUUAUCUUAGGUUUGAUUUUAUUUUUCUCUUUGAUUUGA